UAAAUUUUCAGUCGAGGAACAAAGUGAACAAUCGGAAAAAGAUUAAGAGCAGUCGCCAUGGCUGGGAUUGUUGCCGGAGAAACUAGAACAAGAGAAGUGAGAAGUGGAAAGAGGAGAAAUGAAAUGCGGAAAGAUGCCCCGUUGAGGCAUAUAUAUAGGGGGUCUGAGCAUUUAUUACUAGCGGAAAUCGAAGCGGAUGCAUUGGUAAC
rnacentral:misc_RNA from 1 species